rnacentral:tRNA from 1 species
GGGAAUGUGGCUCAGGUGGUAGAGCGCUUGCCUAGCACACAGGAAGCUCUAGGUUCAAUUCCCAGUACCG